GGAGCCACGUGAUAAGGAAGGUGGGAAUAGCUCAUUGGACAUCACCGUCACUACCGCCAGACGUAGAAACACAUCUUGGAGCACAUGCCCUACUGAUGGUAGCAAUAUCCAAUUGAUCCAGCACCAUUUAUUUAAAAGAUGAUCUUCUUCCAAAGAAAUGGAACUAUGACCUUUGCCACAAGUCAGGUACUCAUACUAAGAGCUGUGGCUGUGGCUGGAACUUGGAAACAUCCUGAAAAUGAAAGCCAGUCUCUGCCAGGGGCUGCAAAACGGUGCGGUUAGAGUCCGAAAAGAGGGACGUCAAGGCUGCUGUGAACACGUCCAGGUGCAGACGGACUGGGCCUGGGCUUGCUUCUCUGGCUGGGUCUCCAUGGGAAACAUCCUAUGGUGAGGUCCUCAGCCUGCGCUUUGUGUCAGUAAAUUCCUCAAACAUAAACACUUCCUUGGCCGGAAGGAAGUCACCUGGUGGGGCCUGCGAGCAGAGUCCUGGAAGACGCAUCAACUCAACAGCGGCCCUGAAGGACCAGGGUGACCUGCUAAUGGGAAGCUCACGGUCCUCGCCUCCCCAGGAGUCACACAGCGGAUGCGGGACUU
rnacentral:lncRNA from 1 species